rnacentral:precursor_RNA from 1 species
ACCCAAACUCAACAUCUCCUCCACACGCAUCCACCCCACUCUCUUCGUAGGUCUAGUGAAUCGCGAUGUUCUUUCUAUCUAUCUGUUCUCUUCGUUCUACAAACUGUUGGUUCUUGUCUUCUUGAGUAGCCAUUCCUUGCGGAUGCAGAUCCCAGGUAGAAUCAGUUCGGUAGCUUCUUCUGUUCACUGGCCAUCAUUUCCUUUGAUUUCUUCUGUUUCUUAGAGUCUGUCCCAUCUUCUGGAUCUGAGUUGGAAGCUUCCAUCUACCUAGCCAUGGUAUUUUAUGCAACAUAUACGGCGUGGAUCGGAACUGCCCAAGGGAACGAGUGAAGCUGCCAGCAUGAUCUAGCUCUGAGUGAUCACCCGAAAAAGAACAAUAGUUCUAGGUGGUCAUGCCUUGCUAGGUCAUGCUGCUGCAGCCUCACUUCUUCCCGUCGUUGGGCAUAACAUGGUGGCUGUGUUAGCUUGGUAAAGCAGGUAGUACCAACAACUUCCAUAUACUUUUGAAAGUUCAAUUCUGAUCUUAGACCACUUGAUUUUUUUUGUUGAUUCUGAUUGAUAGAUUCACUGCUCAGUCGGUUUACUAGAUGUUUUGCUGCUGGUGUUUGCUCUGAAUGGUAGGUGGUUUUGUCGAAUGAGCAUUUUUUUAUUUCAUUUCAAAUCUGUUGUUAACCAUUGACCUUGACUCGCGGUAGCAAGGACACGGGCAUAGUGACAUUCUCUACCGAGUCCGAAACGAGGGUAACAUCAUAAAAUGGUGAAUGCGCCCUCGUUCCAUAUUCCUGCUGCACGCUUGUUCCCAGUGCAAGUUUCUGAUCGAUAGCUGACUGCGCUUGUGGUACUCUCAUGCAGUCAUGCUUCAUUCAAUUCAUUAUAGAGCAUUGAACUGAUAAGGUCAAUCAUUUGCUUAUUUUUUGGUUGCACUCUCACUCCGUUGCUGCAUGAUUGUUGAUCGACUGUUUGUUAGCAGACGCUCUACUAGCUUUGCUGCUUUGGCAUUGCAAAGAAUCAAUACAAAAAUUUUGAAUUAUGCCCUUUGCAUCUGGGCUGGAAUACUGGUGUCAACCACCAACGUUUCUGCUACUUCAUUACUAUUCAUCUUCUUCCUUUGCGGUCCUGGACAGAUACAGAAAUACUUCUCACAUCUACCAUGUUUAAUACUGUUACCGUUUAUUUAUUCGCUCACUUUUAUGCUGUGGAUAGUGACCUGAGAACUCUGCCUCAAUGUUGCUCAUGGCUGUCAUGAUCGCAUGGUGGAGAACCUGGCUAGUUUUUUGUUCUUCAAUUCGGCUCUAAUUAAAGUUCACACUUACUAUUUGUAUGUAUAUACAUCCCAGUUUUUCCUUUCGUGGUCAAGAGUAAUGCCAGACUAUUUAAAAGGCGAGGUGAACUAGUUUAAAAGUUUUUAAAAACACAUUAUACAUUGUACUUGCAUAUUCCAGAUGUGUGUAUGUAUGUAUGUGCUGCGAAAAAAAUAUGGUGCCGCAAUGAAGUGUGAAACUUGGGGAGCAUGGGUAGGCGCUGCUUGUACUGACUAGGUAGGCGAAUAUACAAUGUCGCUGCUGAUGUGACCCAAACGUCUGAAUGCAUGCACUGAUUAAGUCGUGGUCAGGCCCUUCAAUUUCUGGGCAGGAGACAGACGCUUCUGGUCUACCAGUGCACGGAUUUGCUGCCGCUACAUUUCAGACAUUUCACGGAUGCGAAAAUGUACUGCCUUUGUGCUACUUCUGUGGCUUGAUUGCGAGGUUUUGUCUAAAUUGUGUCCUGUGCUAAUGUUUAUACGAUCCAAA